rnacentral:rRNA from 1 species
AAAAAAUAUUGCACAAUGGGCGCAAGCCUGAUGCAGCCAUGCCGCGUGUAUGAAGAAGGCCUUCGGGUUGUAAAGUACUUUCAGCGGGGAGGAAGGGAGUAAAGUUAAUACCUUUGCUCAUUGACGUUACCCGCAGAAGAAGCACCGGCUAACUCCGUGCCAGCAGCCGCGGUAAUAA